rnacentral:rRNA from 1 species
UACGUAGGGGGCAAGCGUUGUCCGGAAUCAUUGGGCGUAAAGAGCGUGUAGGCGGCCCGAUAAGUCCGCUGUGAAAGUCCAGGGCUCAACCCUGGAAUGCCGGUGGAUACUGUCGGGCUCGAAUCCGGAAGAGGUGAGUGGAAUUCCUGGUGUAGCGGUGAAAUGCGUAGAGAUCAGCAGGAACACCCGUGGCGAAGGCGGCCCCCUGGGCCGAACCUGACGCUGAGGCGCGAAGGCUAGGGGAGCGAACGGG